GGCAGACUGCUCAGGCUGUUCAAAGGGCCUGCACCUGCCCCAGCACAGCAGCCUGAAGAGCCCAGCAGUGCUCCAUUCCUACACAGACACGGGAAGAGGGCAGAACCAGAGGCCAUCGUGGCCUAACGGUGAGCUUUGGGUGUGCCAAAAAGCAAAUGAAGCAGCAGCAGCAGCAGCGGAGUGGCUGAGACUCAGAGCCGCNUGCGUGGUUUUGGGCCUUUGCCCCGGCAGGCCUGGAGUAGCUGCUGCUACUGAGGUCUUCUCCUUUCCUCCAGGACAACAGCCACGUGCAGCUGCUCGCCAUUCAGCUCUUCGGCAAGGUGAUGGAGCAGGUCAUGGAAGAGGGGAAAAAGCCUCUCACGAGAAUCGUGAACCAGAGCCUGCUCCCUCUCUUCUUGCGCUGGCAUGAGGAGAACUGGCGCGUGGCAAAGGUGAGGUUUUGUGUGACGGUGCUGCUGCUGCUGCAUCGCUGGCAGGGGGCUCGGCUGCCUCCAGCCCUGGCACCUCGCGGGCUCCAGCCUCCCCCUGGCCUUGGCACAGGGACGCGGGUCCCGUGCCCCGGGCUCUGGUGCCACCUGCGGCUCUCUGCUGCUCUCCAGGCAUCUCGCCAAACACUGCUUUGUGCGGCACGGUUCCUGAGGAGGAGCGAUCUCGAGGUGCUACUGAGGAAGCAGCUGCGGAUGAAGUUCGCCGAGUGCCUGGUAAGGACGGCCUGGAAGCCCCAGCCACGGCCUGGAGAAGACCCCGGUGCUCAGUGUUUGGGGUGGCAGCCGGCCCCUGCUCGGCGCUACAGCCAGGGGCGCCGGCCUGCGCCCCACACGCUGCUCCCUUCCCUGGGCCCGCGGGCUCUUGCCCGGGCUCCUCCGGCGCCGAGCCGGGUGCCCACGGAGUCCCGGCCCGGCCUCGGGGCUGUGCGGGCCGGGCAGGCCGGUGCUGGACGCGGGGAGAAGCCCGGCCGAGGGGCAGAGCCCGCGCUGAGCCUUCCCUGCUGGCGCUCUCCGCAGCUGCUGGAGGACGAGAGCCGAGCGGCCGAACACGUGCGCUGGGCCCUGCCGUGCCUGCAGAGCCCACAGAGGUGCCUGCGAGAGGCGGCCGUCAGGUUCAUCGGGGUCGCCGGGGUGCUCAUGAUGGGGCAGAAGGAGGAGCUCCAGGUGCUCAGCGAGGCCCUUCAAGCCCUCAGAGAAGAUGAGAGCCCCUCCUUAAUGAGCCAGGUUGUCCAGCAGACGUUUGACAGAAGAUCUGCUCAACUUCGUCUGCUGGAUCAAUAGAACCGGUGUCCUUCGGCGACCUCCAGGUCCCAUUGAAGAUGGGACCACCUGCAGAGCAGAGGGGACCAGCUCCAGCUCCAGCUCCAGCUGAUGCUGGUCCUAGCUGAACCUGUUGGAAGCUCCAGCAGCUCCUGCAUCUCUCUCCCUGUUGGCAGCUCCCUCCCUCCAGCCCUUGGCCCCUGCCCAUCCCCUUUUUUCCCUCCCAGCUCACCCCUUCGCUUUGCCUUCCCCUAUUAAACAGUUUGAUUUCUUCACUUUACCCACGUCUCUGUGGAGCUGAAGUAGCACAAAACCUGAGCCCUGGGACACGCAGGGCCCUGCUGCCGUUCCCUUCUGCGCUGUGUUUUGUGCACGGACACAGAGGAACGAGCUGAGGCUGCAAAGGUCCCUGUCCUGCAGGUGCAGCAGCACAAUAUCGUGGAGUUCAAGGUCACUCUGAGCACGCUGCAGGGGACAAGGACCCUGGCUUUUAGAAGAGCCAACCUGAGUAUGCUCUGAUCCCAGUCGUGAGGGAUUCCAUGGCGAGCAUUGACGGAGGGCAAAGGAGCUUGCAGGGUUGGAAGUUUUCACAGAGCUUCCUCCAAGCACAGCAAUGCUCCAUUCCUACACAGACACGGGAAGAGGGCAGAACCAGAGGCCAUCGUGGCCUAACGGUGAGCUUUGGGUGUGCCAAAAAGCAAAUGAAGCAGCAGCAGCAGCAGCGGAGUGGCUGAGACUCAGAGCCGCGACCGUGCUGGGUGUGGGUCUGGCGGUUCAGCUCUCCCCACAAGCGAGGAAUCGCAGCCCCUGCCUCAGAGCCAGUCAGAAAGCCAACCAAGUGAGACCAGAGGCUGGGGAGCCUUCCCAUCUCUCUUGGCCAUGGCUGCAAAGCACCACUGCGUCUUCCUGCGCCUGUGUUUGGGGUGUGCUGAGCCCAGAGGCGGCCAGCUCGGGCUCUGUUGUCCCAAGAGCGUUCUGGGUGGGCACGGGAAGUGCUGUGUGCACAGUGGAGUGUCCUGGAAGGUGCUCACGAGAAGCUCCUGUGGGAACAGGGCUCUGCUCUCUGGCUGGGAACAGCCUGGAUUUGCUGCCAAGACCGCAGGCAGGAGUUGAGGCACGUGAAGAGGCCGCGGGCAGCUCGUGUUUGCAGGGGACGUGGGGCUGUGCACCAAAAGAGACAUGGGGAAACAGACUUAGGUUAAGGAAUGGCAUUCUAGCCAAGAAGAGGGAAUUUAUAUUGUUUAGGGAAUGAAUACACCCUACAAGUACUGACUAUGUAGCAAUGCACUUUAGCGCUUCCUUACACUAGAUUUAGUGAAAGGUGAAACAUAUGGUCGGGUCUUAACAUAAAAUUAGGUGCAAAACCUUUUUUUCCUGUAAAGCAAUUUUCAGGAGAUUAAGAUCUACAAAUGGAUUAGAAAAUACAUGUUCUAUCUAUACCUUUAAAACAACCUUUACAUUGCUGAUAGAUGGUAUGUUUGGAAAUAGCUGAAGGAGAUCAGCUCUGUCCAAACAUAUUUCUUAGUGUUACAGAUGAGUGUGUUUUUCCAGUAGCUAGGUAACCAGAAACACUUCCCUUCAGCUUGUUGGCCUUUGGACUUUUUCAUUUUAAGUAGAGAAAAAGUGAAAAAGAAGACAUUGGGUUAAUAGAUGUCUGUGGUAACAAGAUGUACACAACUUUGUCUCCUCAAGGGUGGACCUGCCCCUGCAGUUAAUAUGCAGCUCAAACUUGCUUUGUUCUGUUGUUGGACUGCUUUGGAAUUCUGCUUGGGAAUGCCCUCAUUGACCGUUUUGAGGCCGCAAGUGGGUUGAACUGCAUUUUUAGUCAUUGAAGUGCACUGGAAAAUGCAACUAGAUCCUCAAUUUGACCUUGAAAAAUGAAAUGCUUUGAAAUGUAGGAUUUGCUUCACACCAGCAAUGUAAGAACUGUUUCUGCUGAGCUUUAAUUUGGUAUUGUCUGAAACUCUUUUAUAUUUCCAGAGGACAUUUACUUUCAAAUCUCUAGGGAAAUCCAGAUUUCCAGACAUUUAUUUUCAAAUAUCUGAGGAAAAGGAACUAAUUUUCUAUUCCAAACACAUUGAAAGGCAACAGAACAUAAUUCUGUGGUUUUGCCACUGACAUUGGCUGAUGAAAUAAUAAUGGUUAUUUUUAAUGAGAACAGAGAGGAUUUUUUGAGGUGCAGUGAGAACCAGAAUGAUUCCAUCAUAUCUGUCCUUAGAUUUCUGAAUGGUUUUGCAGAGAAAAAGACGCAAGUGAUUCCAGAGAUUUCUAAAUUUUGUGCUAGAAAGGGAAGAUGUUCAUAGCAAGAGUAUAUGGUGAGAUUUUAAUGGGAUAUAUUGUUUCAUGCAAUACCUCUUAGUUGUAUCUUAAUAAAGACUUCAAAAUGUGUUUGGAGGAUGUUUCU
rnacentral:lncRNA from 1 species